GUGCCCUUCCUAACUAGUGGCUAAAAUGGAGGUAUGCUAGAUUUAUUUUUCAUUUGACGCUAGAACUACAAGUCAAUUGGAUUGGGUUGGAGACGGGUAGAAUUUAGAUCUAAUCCUUAUUUUGAAUCAUGAGUAAAAAUCAAAUCCAAGCUUAUUCUAAAAUUAUUUGGUUUUGACUUUGUAUUGCAUCAGGUGCAAUAUUAAUUUUAUCUUUUUUCUUCUUUUUAUAAUUAAG
rnacentral:lncRNA from 1 species